AGUGAACGCUGGCGGCAGGCCUAACACAUGCAAGUCGAGCGGCAGCGCGGGGGCAACCCUGGCGGCGAGCGGCGGACGGGUGAGGAAUUCGUCGGAAUCUGCCUUUUUGUGGGGGAUAACGUAGGGAAACUUACGCUAAUACCGCAUACGUCCUACGGGAGAAAGUGGGGGACCGCAAGGACUCACGCAGAAAGAUGAGCCGACGACCGAUUAGCUAGUUGGUGGGGUAAAGGCCCACCAAGGCGACGAUCGGUAGCUGGUCUGCGAGGAUGAUCAGCCACACGGGGACGGAGACACGGCCCAGACUCCUACGGGAGGCAGCAGUGGGGAAUAUUGGACAAUGGGGGCAAGCCUGAUCCAGCCAUGCCGCGUGUGUGAAGAAGGCCUUCGGGUUGUAAAGCACGUUUGUCCGGAAAGAAAUCCCUGGAGCUAAUACCUUCGGGGGAUGACGGUACCGGAAGAAUAAGCACCGGCUAACUUCGUG
rnacentral:rRNA from 1 species